ACGGCAGACGAGCCGGGCGGGCGGCCGCGUGGAGUCCCUCACGGGACUUCCCGAGGAACGUCCGGGCUCCACAGGGCAGGGUGAUGGCUAACGGCCACCCGGGGUGACCCGCGGGACAGUGCCACAGAAAGCAGACCGCCGGAGGCUUCGGCCCCCGGUAAGGGUGAAACGGUGGUGUAAGAGACCACCAGUGCCCAGGGCGACCUGGGCAGCUAGGUAAACCCCACCCGGAGCAAGGUCAAGAAGGAAGCACCCCGGUGCUUCUGCGCGGACGUUCGAGGGCUGCCCGCCCGAGUCCGCGGGUAGACCGCUGGAGGCCGGUGGCAACGCCGGUCCUAGAUGGAUGGCCGUCGCCGACGGGACCGCGAGGCCCCGUCGGAACAGAACCCGGCGUACAGCCCGACUCGUCUGCCGCCCCCCCCCCCC
rnacentral:RNase_P_RNA from 1 species